rnacentral:rRNA from 1 species
AUGCAGUCCCAGCGACCGUCCAAGCAGAUGUGUUUCAUCGUGGCAAUUGUCCGAGCAGGUUCACUCCAUCCUCAUCGCCACUUGAUCUCGGUGGCUCGCUUGCGGCCCAGCCCAAUUCCACCAUCGAUCACAAUAGCUAGCGCAUUAGGGCACGAGCAACCACAGCCAGUCUCUCGUCUCUCCCUUUCUCUGCUCUGCGCCGCCUCGCCUCUCUCUCGCCACGCAAAUCUGGAUCGACGGCGACGAGCGACGCCGCGCUUCCUCGCCAACUCGGCACCGACGGUGACAGGCGGCGCGACCGUUCCUCACCACACCGGACGUAGACGGACGCGCCUCCCCUGGUUUCUCGUGGAACGUGACGAGCCGGAGCAGACGCCUAUCGUCGCAACAAUGGACAAGCAAAAGGGGAAGGCGAGUGGGAAGGAGAAGGAGAAAGAGAGGACGUUGGACUCCAUUAUGAAGAGAAAGUUGCCGGUCUCGGGGAUGCAGAAGGGGAAUGAGAAGGGCAAUGCAGCAGCUACUACACGGCUGCCGAGGAAGCUGACAAAUGAUUCCAGCAAUGUCCCAAUCGCUGAGUUGUUGUAUAGGGUAAAAAAGAAACCUCCGCCUCGACGUCUCCCUGACCCCACCGGCGCUGGCGUGCGUGCCGGAAUCGCCGUUGCCUCCGGCUCCGCAAACUACUAUGAGAGGGAGGCUACAUCUUCGCAGGCAAUGGAGCAUGAUAAGCAAGCGGAGGAGGAUCAUGAAGAGGUGGAAGAGGAUGAGGAGGAGGACGAGGAAGAGAAAGAUACUUUGUUUGAGGUGCCGCCUGGGGUUGGUGACAAAUCAGAUUCAGAUGGGUUUGUGGAUAGUGAAGAAGAAGCCUUCGAAGGUGGAAGCACCUCAUCCAUGGGAAGACAUAUGGACACAUGCAAGAAUUACAAGGACAAGGUUAAUAGGGAUCUCAUCCAAGCUACUCUAUUUUUUAGAAAAACCAAUGCAACAACAAGUGGUCCAGCAGUCCGGUGCAUUGAGUAUGAUAAGGACCUCAUCAAGGAGGUCAUGGCAAAGAUGAUUUGUUACAUUGGAUAUGACUACAGGAGUUCUUUGAAACCAGAAAUGGUGGAAGCCUUGGUGUGUGGUGCUAGUUAUAUCAAAGGUUCUCACAAGGACUUCAAUGUGGUGGAGAGGGAUGAAGAUGAGGAGGACAAUGUUGAGAAUAUCAAGUUGCCCAAGAUUGUUGAUGUGGGGGAUAUUCGCCAUGUGGGUGUUGUUCUUGCUAUUUUGAAGAUGGAUGUCUACAUGAUCUUCUCAUGUGGAUUGUUGAGUCAUUGUUUGGCUGUCAACAUUUUCUCAGUUUUAUGUCAAAGUGGUUUAAUUGCCGCAAAAAAUCAAGUAUAUGCACUAUAUACAGAGGUCUGUACUAUUAAAUGGUUCUGGGAGAAACUGGCUUACGAGUCGGCUCGGUCUGAGCCGAGCCAUAGCCAAAGCGAGCCGAGCCGGUUGAAAAAUCACACAACUAGUAUGGACGAAGGCGGGUGUUUAUUCAAAAAUAAGGGCCGAGUUAGAUUAGGUGUAGGGUGUGUUUCUUCAAAAAUGAGAGCCGAGUACCAUCAGGCGUCAGCACAGUUACUAAGCUCCCAAGAAUUACCAGCCUGUGAUGCAUCGAUGCUUUUAGGCGGCGUGUGGACCACGAUGGCCAGUGUUACAAAGCGAGAUGGAUCCUCCAGUCAAAGCGAGAUUACCAAGGUCACGCGUGGUCCACGCGGCACGCGGCCUCGUGUUUCAUUCUCCCUCACCCGAUUCCUGGUGGUCAGCCGCCGCCUGCCGGUAGCCACGAUUAUGAUCUUCCUCAGGCCACCAACCAUGACCUCGGAGACCACGGCGUUGCCGCUUAAUGCAGCGGCGGCGGCGAACAAUAGCCGAUGCGCAGGGCGCCUCACCUCGGCGCACCGCGGCUCUACUGCUUCUUGGCGACGGCGGUCCAUGGAGGUUGGUCCACCCCGAGUUCCUCGCCUGUGCAGUAGAUCUUCUUCCCGAGCUCCAAAGCCAGCGCCUCCUGCAUCCUCCUGA